CCUAGUUUAUGUACUCAUAAUCAAUAUUAAUAAUCUAUUUUCUUUUUUUGAUAAAAUUAAUAAUCUAUUUUCGUUAUACUAUAUUUACAACAAAAUCUAUAAUUAGAUCAAUACUAGUAGAGAUCGAGUACCUUACAUAAAAAUAUAUUCUCGAAGUUGAGAGCUUAAAAAAACAAUUUUGGGCCAAACGGCCCAGCCAUCCUCUACAUAACAAAUCGCGUAACCUUUCUUCUUCGUAUCGCCAAUCGCACAACCUUUCUUCUUCUUCAAGUUCCGAUAUGGAUCCAAUCAGACCAAAUUUGUUAGACUUUCGGUAUAUUAGCGCGAAGAUACACCUGCUGAAUCGCACCAUUCAGAAAGCUGAAGCCGAGAGAAGUACGUUUGUUAACGAUAUAUUGGUGAAUAUGCCAUUCAUGUAUGUAGCAUCGGAUCAAGAUUUGAAAACCAUGGCCGGCAUUCCUGGUUAUGAGGGCGAUCUCUACGUCGACUACAGGGUUUCACCUGACUUGAUUGAUGCAUACCGCUCAAACCACCAUGAGGAUGAUGUGGUGAUAAUUAGAAACGUCAAAUUAAUUCUUGAUGAUUGAUGUAGUUAGUAGAUUCGGUGUAUGAGGAUUUUGUGAGGAUUAGCGGUUGCUAUCUGUGUGCGAAGAUUUUGUGGGGAUAAGCGGUUGCUAUAUUGUGCGAACGUGGGAUGUCAAGUUAAUUGGAUUUCUUGAUUUUGUUCGCUAAAUUUCUCAAUAUUUGAUAUUUGAUCAUUGUUUCUGAUUGCUUGUGUCA